UACGUAGGGUGCAAGCGUUGUCCGGAAUUAUUGGGCGUAAAGAGCGUGUAGGCGGCUCGGUAAGUCCGCUGUGAAAGUCCAGGGCUCAACCCUGGAAUGCCAGUGGAAACUGUCGAGCUAGAGUCCGGAAGAGGCGAGUGGAAUUCCUGGUGUAGCGGUGAAAUGCGCAGAUAUCAGGAGGAACACCAAUGGCGAAGGCAGCUCGCUGGGACGGUACUGACGCUGAGACGCGAAAGCGUGGGGAGCAAACAGG
rnacentral:rRNA from 1 species